AGAGACAGCAGCAGCCGCGGGAAUACGAAGGGUGCAAGCGUUACUCGGAAUUACUGGGCGUAAAGCGUGCGUAGGUGGUGGUUUAAGUCCGUUGUGAAAGCCCUGGGCUCAACCUGGGAAUUGCAGUGGAUACUGGGUCACUAGAGUGUGGUAGAGGAUAGUGGGAUUUCCGGUGUAGCAGUGAAAUGCGUAGAGAUCGGAAGGAACAUCUGUGGCGAAGGCGACUAUCUGGGCCAACACUGACACUGAGGCACGAAAGCGUGGGGAGCAAACAGGAUUAGAUACCCCUGUAGUCCCUGUCUCUUAUAC
rnacentral:rRNA from 1 species